UGAACUCAAUUUAAUGUUAUUACAUUCACCACUCCUCCACCCCUUGCCAUUUUACCCACUGAAAUAUUUCUGGUUCUUUAUUCUUAUUCAACAUGCCAGCUCUGCUUCAUAGAUUUAAGGUUUUUGUUCUUGUUUUUAAUUUCAUAAGCAUGAGAUCUGUACCUGUAUGCAAUUCCUUGAGGAAAAUAUUGAGCAGAAUUGGGCAAAUGGCAAAAUCUUGAGGCACUCUAUUAUGCACCUACCUCUGGUUGACACUAAGUUAUUAAUGAGUAUUCUCUGAGUAUGUCAGUCCAUUCAUCAAGUUUCAGAUUCACCCAACUAUGUUGUUAUUGUUUGAUAUCUUUUAUAUUGCUAGUUCCCAAAACAAAAGUUAGCUUGACACAAUUUCUUCUUCAUAAAGUCAUGCUGACUUAGUGAUCACUACUUCCCUUUCUGAAUAUUCACAUCUGAAUAUUCUGAAAAUGAUCCAUAAAUUGGACAGAAAUCAGUUAAAUUCCUUGGCUUAUGAAGUACUUUCACUUUCUUCUUUCUUUUGAAAAUCAGGAUAUUUGUCAUAGGAUCACCUAUUUUAACUCUGAAGGAAUGUUAGAUAUUACAGUGUCUGAGGCAGGAUUGAAAUUCACACCUUAUAGAUUCCAAGUUGAUUGCAAUAUCCAUUAGAUCACACUGCUCAUUCUCCAAUCUAAUUGACUUGCCAAUCAAAUCUACCAGUUCUUUCAGGUCAUUCUGGGAUGUGUUGAUUGGAAUUUGCUGAUGGAACUUGCCAUCAAGGGUAACUAGUCUACUCUUAGUAUCCACCUACCUUGGAAUUCAGUUCCCUAUAUUAUGUUCUGUUCGGACCAGAGAGAUUAUCCUCCCUGGAAGAAGCGAAAUAAUUAAGAACUAAGCAAUUCAGUCUUUUUGCUGUUAUCCUUAUUAUCAUCCAUCUCUCCCAAAUAAUGGUGUUCUCCUCCACUCUAGCCCCAUUUUAGGCAAAUAGGUAAUAUAAUGGAUAGAAAGCUGAGUCUAGAACAAAAAGACCUGAAUUAAAUUAUAGCCUCAGAUACUGCUUAAGUUAUAUGACUCUGGGUAAGUCACUAAAUCUUUAUCCCAAUUUCCUUAACUCUAAAAUAGAGAUAAUAAUAACACUUACUUUACAGGAUUAUUGUCAGGAUCAAAUACAGUAAUAUUUGUAAAGGCCUUAGCAUAGUGCUGGUUAGGUACUUAUUACCUGCUUAUUCUCCUCACUUUCCUUCUCAUGACUUUAAAAACUUUUAAUUUCCCUUAAUAUUCUUGACCAGUUUCAGAUUGUUUUAGGCAUUGGGAGCCUGUUUCCUUAUAUUCUUUUGCACCGAAUUUGAAUUAGCUGCCCAAUCUUUCCUUGUUACUUAAAAAAAAAAAAAAAAAAAGCAAACCCAAGGUCCAUCAGUAAGUUACUUGUAUGUCUAGAAUGAUACUUUUUAGAAAGUUCCCCUUAGGGGUUGUCAUAUUUGACAAGAUUUGGGAGACUUUCCAUCAUGCCCUAACUACAUGCCCUAGGAAGAUGGCAGACCAAUCUAUUUUUAUGUCACACUGUCAAACAGCCCUCUCACUAUUCCUCAACAGAUUGUCUCUUAGUCCUCUGACCAUUAUUAAAUGACCUUGUGGGACUUAAGGAUUCACAUAAUUUUUCCAAGCACAGAAAACUACUUCCACUUGAGAUGGACCAACUCCCUCUGACAAGGAAGAAUAUCAUAAGCUAUUAACUCAAGUAUAUUCAAUGGUUUUCCCUUAAACUCUUUAAUUGGUAAUUAGUACAUUUCUGGUAUGUCUUAAAGCAAACAGAACCUGUUGCAUAAGCACAAAUCCAUUUAGAUCUAAUUAUCCACUUUCUUUCUCUUUACUUGCCACUUAGCUAGUGAAUGGAAAGAAGUUUCAAGACUUAACCAUACCAAAUCAGCUUAUGGAGAUUCCUAAUUUUUUUUGCACUCAUGCAUUGUGAUUGUAAUAUGUGUUUUAUGCAGUAAGCAAAAAGAAAUCUUACUACUUUAUGCUCAUCAUGAUAAUCAUACAUUUAUCUCAUAAAGAUAUUCAAAAUCAUAAUCUUAAAGCUGGAAUGCACUAUAUGAAACUGACUGCAUAUUUCUGAUGUGUGCUGAAUUUAACAAGCUAGAGUCUUCUGAGCUAAUUCAAUGGAAAUAGGUUCUCUAUAUCUGUCUUCUGAUUGUCAGAUUAGAUAAGAAUUAGCCAAAUCUUCAGCAAGCUCUGAUUCUUUUUGCUUGAUUAUCAUAAUCUGCAUGUGUUAAGUUAAGCAAAUUGAUAACCUGCAUCAUAGUGAAACCUCUCUCAGAAAUCUGCUGAUAUAACCCUUUGUAGUUAAGGGAAUUGAGACAAUGAGAUGAGCUAUUAUAUUGAACAAGAAAAGGCCAUAUGUCAGUGGUACACAUGGCUUCCUGUCUUCUUUACCCUUCUACCUCUAAGAGUGGAAGUUAAAGAUAACUUGGGUGUUUAUUUGCAAGUUUGACAUGGUAACUGUUGUCACCUUGUAAGCUCCAGAGGAGCAGGGACCAUAUCUUAUCUAAACUUUAUACCUUUCUAGCACUUGGCACAGUACUGUGCACUACAAUAAGGGCUUAAUGUUUGUUGAACAAAUUACUGGGAAAAUGUGAAUAUUUGGGAGAAUGUAUUCUCUAAUAUUUCUUAGAAAUGUCUAUUUCUAGGGUGAGGAGAAAAGGGUUGAACAUAUUCCUAACAAAGAUAAAGGUUUGUGCAUCAAAGACUUGGAAAUGACAAUUUGUUUAUUAAAAUAAUUCAUUCUGAUAAACUCACAAAA
rnacentral:lncRNA from 1 species